GAUGAAGAACGCAGCGAAAUGCGAUAAGUAGUGUGAAUUGCAGAAUUCAGUGAAUCAUCGAAUCUUUGAACGCACAUUGCGCCCUUUGAUAUUCCAAAGGGCAUGCCUGUUCGAGCGUCAUUUGUACCCUCAAGCUUUGCUUGGUGUUGGGCGUCUUGUCUCUAGCUUUGCUGGAGACUCGCCUUAAAGUAAUUGGCAGCCGGCCUACUGGUUUCGGAGCGCAGCACAAGUCGCACUCUCUAUCAGCAAAGGUCUAGCAUCCAUUAAGCCUUUUUUUCAACUUUUGACCUCGGAUCAGGUAGGGAUACCCGCUGAACUUAAGCAUAUCAAUAAGCGGAGGA
rnacentral:misc_RNA from 1 species